AGGGUGUAAACGCUGCAGACUUGGUGUUGGAGGCCCUUUGGGGGCAUUCAGUGCCGGAGAGAAGUUGUUAAGUCCGCUACUUGGGAGUACGUCCGCAAGGAUGAAACUUAAAGGAAUUGGCGGGGGAGCACCGCAACGGGAGGAGCGUGCGGUUUAAUUGGAUUCAACACCGUAAACUCACCAGGGAAGACUGUUACAUGAAGGCCGAGAUGAAGACUCUGCUAGAUUUUUCAGAGAGGAGGUGCAUGGCGUCAGUGACU
rnacentral:rRNA from 1 species